AAACCAACCGGGAUUGCCUCAGUAACGGCGAGUGAAGCGGCAAGAGCUCAAAUUUGAAAGCUGGCUCCUUCGGGGUCCGCAUUGUAAUUUGCAGAGGAUGCUUCGGGUGCGGCCCCUGUCUAAGUGCCCUGGAACGGGCCGUCAGAGAGGGUGAGAAUCCCGUCUGGGAUGGGGUGUCCGCGCCCGUGUGAAGCUCCUUCGACGAGUCGAGUUGUUUGGGAAUGCAGCUCUAAAUGGGUGGUAAAUUUCAUCUAAAGCUAAAUACUGGCCGGAGACCGAUAGCGCACAAGUAGAGUGAUCGAAAGAUGAAAAGCACUUUGAAAAGAGAGUUAAAAAGCACGUGAAAUUGUUGAAAGGGAAGCGCUUGCGACCAGACUCGCCUCCAGGGUUCAGCCGGCAUUCGUGCCGGUGUACUUCCCUGGGGGCGGGCCAGCGUCGGUUUGGGCGGCCGGUCAAAGGCUCCCGGAAUGUAGUGCCCUCCGGGGCACCUUAUAGCCGGGAGUGCAAUGCGGCCAGCCUGGACCGAGGAACGCGCUUCGGCACGGACGCUGGCAUAAUGGUCGUAAACGACC
rnacentral:rRNA from 1 species